UACGUAGGGUGCGAGCGUUGUCCGGAAUUACUGGGCGUAAAGAGUUCGUAGGCGGUUUGUCGCGUCGUUCGUGAAAACUUGGGGCUUAACUCCAAGCGUGCGGGCGAUACGGGCAGACUUGAGUACUACAGGGGAGACUGGAAUUCCUGGUGUAGCGGUGAAAUGCGCAGAUAUCAGGAGGAACGCCGGUGGCGAAGGCGGGUCUCUGGGUAGUAACUGACGCUGAGGAACGAAAGCGUGGGUAGCGAACAGG
rnacentral:rRNA from 1 species